rnacentral:rRNA from 1 species
AUUGAACGCUGGCGGCAGGCCUAACACAUGCAAGUCGAGCGGAGCGGCGGGCAGGGGAGUAAUGCCCAGGAAUCUGCCUGGUAGUGGGGGAUGACGUCCGGAAGCGGGCGCUAAUACCGCAUACUAUCAGAUGAGCCUAGGUGGGCUUAGCGAGUUGGUGGGGUAAAGGCCUACCAAGGCGACGAUCCGUAACUGGUCGGAGAGGAGGAUCAGUCACACUGGAAGUGUGAGACGGUCCAGACUCCUACGGGAGGCAGCAGUGGGGAAGAGUGGACAAUGGGCGAAAGCCUGAUCCAGCCAUGCCGGGUGUGUGAAGAAGGUCUUCGGAUGGUAAAGCACUUUAAGUUGGGAAGCGUUACCAACAGAAUAAGCACCGGCUAACUUCGUGCCAGCAGCCGCGGUAAUAC